UCCCCAGUGGUCCAGUGGUUAAGACUCCAGCCUCCAGUGCAGGGGGCCCAGGUUCGAACCCUGGCUGGGGAA